UACGGGGGGGGCAAGCGUUGUUCGGAAUUACUGGGUGUAAAGGGCUUGUAGGUGGCCAACUAAGUCAGACGUGAAAUCCCUCAGCUUAACUGGGGAACUGCGUCUGAUACUGGAUGGCUUGAGUUUGGGAGAGGGAUGCGGAAUUCCAGGUGUAGCGGUGAAAUGCGUAGAUAUCUGGAGGAGCACCGGUGGCGAAGGCGGCAUCCUGGACCAACACUGACACUGAGGAGCGAAAGCCAGGGGAGCAAACGGG
rnacentral:rRNA from 1 species